AACAGUGCACAACAUGUGUCAAAGCAUGAAAAUCUCAUUCUGAAGGAAAGAAUUUCAUUCUCACGUUAUUAGACCGUUCUGUGAGACAGCAAAGUCAAGAUGAUCUGUUAAAAGCAUCACUUAAACCUAACAAACCAUUAGACAUCAUUUUUAAUCUUAG